AUUUCUUUAAGACAAUAAUUUAAAGUAAAACCUGCUCAAUGUAAUAAUUAAUAAAUAGCUGCAGAAUUUCUGUACUAAGGUAGCAUAAUCAUUAGCCUUUUAAUUUAAGGAUAGAAUGAAAGGUUAAACGAAGUAUAAACUGUUUCUGUAAUUUAAACAUUUAAAUUUUAAUAGAAGUAAAAAUACUUUUAUUAAAAAGAAAGACGACAAGACCCUAAUAAACUUAAAUUCAGCUGGGGCGGCAAAAUAAUAAAACCUUAUUUACAUUAAAUAUAUUACUAUUAUAAUUUACACUCAAUUUAGUUACUAUAGGGAUAACAGCGCUAUUUAAAUUUAAAGAUCUUAUUAAAAUUUAAAAUUACGACCUCGAUGUUGAAUUAAUUUCACUUUAUAAAGCAAAAUUUAUAAAAGAAGGCCUGU
rnacentral:rRNA from 1 species